GCGAUGUUGAUCUGUGCUCUGCUGGAGUGACACCUGCUCAAUAACUUCCUGAAGAUCUACAGAAUAUUUCUGGGAUUGAUGUAGCUGUAGGAAAGUGUGAAUUGCUUUGGUCAGUUACAUUUUACUGACAAUCAUAACAUUUUCCAAACUUGAAAUUGUACCUGGGAUGAAUUACAUAGAUGCCUGCAUCGACAAUGCUACAACCAUCAGCAAAAACAAGCUUGCAGGUUUUGAUGCAAGAAUGUUGACCUGAGAGUCCAGUUCAGUGAUUGAGGAGCGGUGGAGAGCAGAGAACGUAUGAGAGUGAAGUAUCAUCAGGACAUGAUGGAACAUUGGACACCAGCAUAAUGUAUGUGAAUAAUUUCAAACAGUAACUCUCUUCAAUACUAAUUGUAUAUUCUAAAUAUUGUUUUAGGUUGUUCAACUGUGCUUC